GUGGGUAUAGCUCAGUUGGUAAGAGUGCUUGACUCACAUGUAUGAGGCCCUGGGUUCAAUCCCCAGCACCAAUG
rnacentral:tRNA from 1 species